GGGGGUAUAACUCAGUUGGUAAAGUGCUUGUCUCACAUGCAAAAGCCCUGGGUUCAAUCCCCAGCACCACCA
rnacentral:tRNA from 1 species